GACGAAGGAUGCAAGCGUUAUCCGGAUUCAUUGGGUUUAAAGGGUGCGUAGGCGGAUUGGUAAGUCAGUGGUGAAAUCUGUGGGCUUAACCCACAAACUGCCAUUGAUACUGCUGAUCUAGAGUACAGUUGCCGUUGGCGGAAUAUGACAUGUAGUGGUGAAAUACUUAGAUAUGUCAUAGAACACCGAUUGCGAAGGCAGCUAACGAAGCUGUAACUGACGCUGAGGCUCGAAAGUGCGGGGAUCAAACAGG
rnacentral:rRNA from 1 species